rnacentral:piRNA from 1 species
UGUCUUGCAUUGCUGUGCCCAUAUCCUGU